rnacentral:lncRNA from 1 species
CUCCCUCCAGCAAAUAAGGUGGAGUGGGCAAGGCAGAGAAGAUAGGAAAAAACAAGCUCAAACUUCAGCAUUUCCAUUACCUGCUCCAUUAAAGAAAGUAUUUCCAGUGAAUAAGAAUUAGAAUUGUUGAAGAAACUACUAACUCUAACUAUCUAACUGCACUGAUCAAGGUCGAUCUCACUGACCCCUUGCUUCACCAUACCCAAGUCGGAGGCUGAGGAGAGCAGAAUAAGGUGAAGGUGGAUACCGCUUAUCAAGAGCUUGGUUAAGUGUCCAAGAUCGUAUGCCUUGCUGGUUGGAUCUAAAUCUGAACUCAAUGAUUGCAAUUCAAGAAGAAUAAGAAGAAUUGCUUAAGUAAGGUAGCCUCUUCUUUUUUUCGGUAUACCGUUCUGCUCGCAGAGCGAAUGAACAAAAAUCUUUCCGAAUAUCAUGAAUAUCCUUCACCCCUUAUCUCCUCAUCUUCCUAUUUAUAAACCACAGCUUACUUCGACGUUUCAAUUUCCCAUAGAAUCUCUAGAGCUUUCCUAGCCAAUAUAGUUUUCUUUUUUAUCUUCUUUGUCUGAAAAUAGGUUUGAUUUGCUUCACCUAUGAGAAUUUCUACCAAUUCUUCUUUUAUUCAUCAAAGCUCAUCCUAAUCUCCGUCGAUAUUACUGCCUUAGCUCUGUCCUAUCAUCUGUAUAAUGGAGUUCGUCAUUUAUUGGUGGAUUUUUAUGGUUAUUUCUUAGAAUUGGAAGAAAAUGAUUGAAAUGACUAUGCAAAAUUGAACCUAUACCUUUCUUUGAGAUUGAAACUUCCAAUUCUACUUUUUUUCUUAUGAAAUAUUUAUUAUUCGUUGAUAGAUCUAAUUCUUAUGCCGUAGAAGCUAACAUCAGGCUAUUGGCCUUUUAUCUGCAUCUUCCCUCGUAGAGUGGCGUCUUUUAUAAGAAAAAACUUUCUCAAUAGAACUAAAAAAAGAGUUUGAGCUCUUUUUUUUGUUUGACUUUUAGCCACGCGCGGCGGCUAUGCGCAUGUGUCCAAAAGUGACGUAUAUUUUUUGGUAAUGGGUAUACUCGAGAGAAAAGGUUUGGAAUUCGACUUCCCCUUAUAUGCUCUAAAAGGGGGUCAUGGACCCCUCUUUAGUUGAGGAUCCCCUUUCUACAUUUAAUUAUUUAUUGAGCCUGGUGUGGAAUCACCAUCAUUACACAUUCAUUCUUGGUCUGGAUGCUGGUCUAGCGAGCCUUCCUAGCCGCCUAGAGUACAGCCUACCUGCUGAAGACUGUAACAUAAGUAACUCAGUGCUCCAUACGGGGGAAAUAAAAGCAGAACUCAGUGCUCCAUACGGGGGAAAUGAAAGCAGAAUUCGUUCGGAUCCUCCCACAUGUUCAAUCUUUUUUUAGCGGUUUCCCCAGAGAUCUUUAUCAUUAAUGCAACCUUCAUUUUGCUCAUUCAUGGAGUUGUAUUUAGUACCUCUAAGAAAUAUGAUUAUCCACCGUUAGUCAGUAAUGUGGGUUGGCUUGGAUUACUUAGUGUUGCGCGCCUAGGAGGGCAGCGCGCUUUGGGAUGCGGAGGAGCUAUUAUCGUCCAGCUCCCUAACCUAAAGCGGCACCGGAUUUGGACCGCAGGGAACCGUAGCAUGGGGGGACGUCUAAUCCUUUUGCCGCCGCAAGGCUGGCUAAUCGUACGCAGCAGGCUCGAAUACCCCUGGUUCUGGAAGGCACAUGAGUCCGAACGCUAUGUUGAAUGUGCGACCGAGACUACACUACGUAGGUACCUGUGCAGGUGAGGCGUCGGUCGGUCCUAGAAACGGCGGCAGCGGCGCGAGGAGUUAACGACCGGACGUGCUGCAACCUAGGGAUCACCAGGCAGCUCUUUCGCUCUAUAGGGAUCGGGGGGGCAUAGCACAAUUCUUCUUGGAGGAGGGUUGUUUGCCCGGGUGACUGAUCCUGCCAUAAUGUACUUCUACCUAUUAUAGCACCGGCAGCCGAAGUCGAGCAUACAUACGACGAUCUUCAUGCGUGAAUAGCCGGGAGGAAAGAAAGGGCGGUAGAUGAUAAUGAGAAAGGGCGCCGCGUCUGGACGGGCGGAAUGGAUGAGCGAAAGGUGUCAUGCCAUGGAGUGGGGAAUAGCCCUCGUCUCAUGUAAGACAACUAAAUGCACCUCGAGGCCGAGGAACUGAGGGACCUUCUCGAGCACAGGAUAGGUAAUUGAGAGAUAGAGCUAGCCUAUUCGUUAUGGGAAAUCAAUGCUCCGGGCCAAAUAGAGCUUACCUACGGCACCUGGCUUUCUCCGGCGAGCUUUCUAUCGUAAAGCCAAAGACGCCCCAAGACAAGGUACAACUGUUGGGAAGGGGACAUGAUCAAUAGAACCUGGCUGGAUCCGGGCUGGGAUAGUGGCGCCCAUUCUUAACCAGUUCCGAAAGGGUUCGCUCAUGCGGGAGGGAUCCUCUCUGCGAUUUCUUCUUUUGAUUCUGUUGUCUACGAAAGAAUGUUCAUUUUGAGGCUUUGCUUUCGAGCAUCCCUUUUCUUGCUUUGAGUGAGGAUUCUAGAAUACUACUACUUACUACGAAGCUUCCUUGUUCCUCUUUCUUCCGCAGGCGUCUACGCUCUAAUAAUGGUUUAUCCCUUUGAAGUAAACAACUCCUACCCUUUCUUUCCCCUCUCUGAUCGCUGUCUCCGCGCAAUGAAUGGCAAUGAUUGGAAAAAAAACCUUUGGUCUCAGGCAUAAGAGCUGGACUGGACUCUCGUAUUCGGCUAAUGAAUGAUCGGAUCGGGGGGCUCGCCCAAUAAUCAAUAAUCAAGACUAAUACAAGGCUUCCUUCUCCCUUCGGUCGAAGAAAAGAUAGAAAGAAAAAAAGUAGUAUACUAACCUAACCUUAUUGGACAAAUGCAAGGUCUUAAGGCCGACCCCUUCGGUGUCUCUUGGCCUUGGAGGACCGUAAGAAGCCCUUGGGCAAAAGACGGUCCGGAAAGGAAAGGGAAAGGUGCACUCUUGGAAAGAGCUUCGCGGUCGGGUGAAACACAUAAUGCAUAUACGGAAACGAAGUGUCCCUCGAGACCAAGAGCCGAAGGCGACACUUAACACUUCUUCCGAUCUUUCCAUGUCCUCUAUGUUAUUCGGUCCAUCGGAGCUUGGAACAUAGAGGAGAAAUCAUCUGUAUCUGUUAUAGGGACACCCUUCUUUGGAGUUCUCUUUCGUCUUCGACUCCCUCUGUUUUCAUUCCAUCGGGCCAUGGCACAUAUAGAGAACGGUACGAUUCCUGUUAUAAGGACACCUUCGCCAAACCUUCCCCGUGGGUCGUUAAUAUUUAAUAUAAUAUGCAGAAACCCUGACUUCCUGUCUUCUCACAGCUCUUUAUCCAUCAUGCUAGCGAAAAAAGUGAAAGUACGACGGGCUCCUCCAUGAGAAAAGGGAUUCCUUAGUUAAUAGGAUAUGUCCUUUAACUUGGAAGAUUGGAAAACCUUGGUCGUCCUUCGGACUUUAGUUAGCAUCGAGCCCUCUUUUUAGGAAGAAUAGGAAAAGAGUUUCAAUAUUGAAACAGCAUUGGAUAAAGGAAGUCUUCGUUCAUUCAACGGCAUUACCGACCGGUCUAGGCUCUUCGGGAGCAGAGAAUAGGAUAGGCUGCUGGUAGGACUGGCUUGUUGGGAUAGGUCAGGCAAAUUCCUCUAGUGGAAGGAAUAUGCCCAUAGAGAAAAAGCCAAUUAGUAAGUAAGAUCGAAAGAGUAGGGACAGACUUUUGCAUCAAUCCUAGCCAGGGAAAUCCCCGAAUCGAAGGAAGAGUAAGCGAAAGGCUGCACAUUCAUGCGUAGACUAAGCUGUUGUCGGAAUAAGCGCAGUUCAGAGGGACUGAUUGAUCAAGGUCUUACAGAAUCUUAUUUCAUAACCAGGAUUUACCCAUGUGCAAACUGUUAGGAAUGAUGCUUUGACUAGGGGGAAAACGUCGAAUAGUAAAGGCUAUGCGCAAUCAACACAAAUCGGAUUCUCGAACACCGCCUUUCGCACCUAAUACCGUAUUCUCCUUAACUCUUGGGCAAGAAGCCCACGGAGCGGUGAAUCCCUCAGAGCUUGCAUUCUUUGCUUCGGAUUCCAUUCCUUCAAACAAUUCUAUCACACACGGCGAAUCGAGUUCAAAGAACUCUCCCCACAGCUUACUUCGACCUUUCUAACGUUGCAGCUAAACUAACGGAGGAAGGAGGAGGGGGGACAUCCAAUUGAUCACAGAACUGGAAGAGGUUCGAUUCCUCUUUGAUGUGGUUAAGCCAAGAGCGCAAAGCGCAUGCGCGAAAUGAGAGCGUCAGGAAUGGGAAGACAAGAGAAUGCCCGGGUACUCCAUCUACCAAAAGAAAUGAUUGAAAUAGAGCGAAGAAUGGAAAGGCAGGCUGCGAAAGCGCUGACUCAAAGGCUGAUAGGAUUGAACUCAAAGGGAAAAGGAAAUAGGCUAAGCAAGAGGAUUUACCAUCGAUCGUGAAAGACGAAGUGACUCACCAAGAGCAUUGCCCAUCAGGGGCUGCGGGGACAGGAGCUAUAAGAACUAAACCAAAAGAAAAUGGCCGUAGAAGGCUAGCUUUCAGAAUAAGAAAAGGCACCUUAUUAGCACGAUAGGGGGAUGCUUAGACAAGCAAAAAGCAUUCAACAAAACGGACUAAAUUCUUUCUUAGGAAGGAUUCCCCUUACUGGGGGUGGGACUAUUACACCAACUGAAGCUUAGGAAGGAAUGGAAAGAUAGGAAGCUUGGAGAGCUAAUGGAAAGAAAUGCGUAAGAAAUAACAGAUCCGCGAUAGAAGUCGAAUACGAUGUUGUAACUAGGGGCAAGAUACAGACUUUAGAGCGUCAAGUCAUACACAAACCGGAGUGACUUCACUACCUGAAGAAAGAAAGCUGCUUCGGCAGGGUCGAAGAAGACGUGUAAGACACCGAGGGGCCGGGGCUUCUUUAUUGUAAGGCGUCUAGAAGCCCAAUUUUGGGCUUUUUUGUCGUGUCUUAUGGGCAUGUUCACAAAGGAAAAGGCUCUCCAUGGGCAGCGUCUGCUUCGGCUCAAAGCGAAUAGGCUGGCAGUCUUGAAGCGAAGGAGAAUUCUUUAACUGUUCGGUGUCGGCAUCUUUUCCUAUCUCUAACUGUUCUCCUAACCGGGCAAGGUAAUCGGCUAACCGGGAAUUCAUCUUCAGAGCUAAGUCCCAAGGAGGCAGGUUGGAAUGUACGGGCGUAGGUUAGCGUCUCGUCCUACGAAUGAUAGCCUUUGAAGGCCGCCCACGGGAUGCGCUGUACGGUAGUAGUUUAUGUUAGCUGCUUAUCCGGUGCCUUCUUUACGACUUUCGACCAAAUUGAAGAAACUCUUGUUUAGUCAGGACGUCGUUCCCGUCCCUUGUGGUGCUUUUUCAACCCUUUGCUUCGCAACCGUCGUCUUUUAGCUGAUUGAUGAGUGUCAAAGAUAGACGUGUCACGCCGCAUGAAGAAAGCUGUCAAGCAUUGAAUGAAGGGAGGGAGGCUCGGGCAAGGUUGUCGGAGCACGUCCGCCGUUGUCUUUUCUGUCGAGGUUGCUUGCAAGGAGUCGACACUCUGAGAUGUCAAUAGAGAGAGCAGAAAAGCGAGUCGUGAGUGUUCGAGUCUGUAAUCUUGUCAAAGAGGGUUUGACCUCAACUAGGCUACGGGUUGUUAUUCUGGUAGACAUCACCCGAACGCCGCGUCCUAGACUGAUGACACUUGCUCAAUCUCUAAAGCGAAUUCGGAAACUUUGGAAGAACCAAUCUCGAGAGGUUGCAUUGGGCGGGCGAUAGGGACUCUGGAUUUCUUUCUGCUGGCAAGGCAUCUAUACCGUAGAUGUGCCGCGGAAUCACCAAUGAAUCUAAGGCCGCGACGGGGACCGGGAGGAGCAGACAAAGAGAGUAUAGAAAGAGUAGAGUCUUCACUCAGUCCAUGAGAGAACUCCCUCUCUGAUUGACUUCAUCAGGAAUCCUGAGGGUCCUGCCCUUGCUCUUUAUCUCGGUAUGGUUGACCACAUUCCUGUUUUCAACCUUGGUAGGUCUUCGGUUCUGCUUAUCGAUCCGCUUCGACUCGAUCGGAUCACGGGAUAACUUGUCCGAGCUUUCCCUCACUCUCUGCCUCAACCAUUCAUUCCAGUGAUCUUUGCAAUCAAUCUCUCCCACAAUAGCUAAAAGCUGCCGUCAGCGCUGUUGCACGAGUACUACGACAAACCCGUACCACGAGUACACUAACAAGAGAGGAACUACGAGCAGAAAGACUCACUCUGCUACUGAAAUUCAAGAGAUUGCGUUUAAAUACAGAGAAAGAGAGAGUCAGUCUCUUGAGCGACCGAUCAAGAAAUGCAAAGAUAAGGGGAAUGGUUAGUGAUGACGGCAUAGGACACAGAAAGUUCCUUCUCUCUCUUUUGAAUCCCAGGGAUUGUCUCAGGGAAGAGGCCAGUCCCUGAAAAAGCCAUCUCGAUUGGUAUCAUUCAAAUGCGAAUAUAGGCCUGAUUGAAGCAUAAAAGUGAAAUAAUAAUAAUGAGAGGCUUUUGUCCGUUGACGGUCAUCUUACCUGUCUCCUACGCUACGCUCUCAACUGGAUCAAUCGCUUUGUCCUGAUUUAUUGAACAGGUGCCCUGUGGAACAUGUUUUAUGGAAUUUCACUCUUUAUUCCAUAUUUCUUUUCUUACUGAUUGAAUUCAGGUAGAGAGAGGAAUAUUCGAUAAAAACCCUUAGUCCGAUAGGGGGAUAGUAUACAUUCAAUCCGGAUAAGACACUGAGAUGAAAGACGAAUCAAGCAAGAAAGGCAGAAAGGGGGCCGCUUUCUCGAGUGAGAGUUCUUUUUUGGGGUUAGUCUGACUGUCCUCAUUCUAGUUGGUAGGCGUGCGAGUAAGAGGGUAGUAGGCGAAAUUCUAUGAAUUGAAUGGGACUUCAGCUUCGACAAUCGUAUCCUCCCUCCAGCAAAUAAGGUGGAGUGGGCAAGGCAGAGAAGACAGGAAAAGACAAGCUCAAACUUCAGCAUUUCCAUUACCUGCUCCAGUAAAGGAAGCAUUUCCAGUGAAUAAGAACUAGAAUUGUUGAAGAAACUACUAACUCUAACUAUCUAACUGCACUGAUCGGGGUCGAUCUCACUGACCCCUUGCUUCACCACACCCAAGCCGGAGGCUGAGGAGAGCAGAAUAAGGUGAAGGUGGAUACCGCUCAUCAAGAGCUUGGUUAAGUGUCCAAGACCGUAUGCCUUGCUGGUUGGAUCUGAAUCUGAACUCAAUGAUUGCAAUUCAAGAAGAAUAAGAAGAAUUGCUUAAGUAAGGUAGUCGCUUCUUUUUUUCGGUAUACCGCUCUGCGAGCAGAGCGAAUGAACAGAAAUCUUUCCGAAUAUCAUGAAUAUCCUUCGCCCCUUAUCUCCUCAUCUUCCUAUUUAUAAGCCACAGCUUACUUCGACGUUUUCAAUUUCCCAUAGAAUCUCCGGAGCUUUCCUAGCCACUAUAGUUUUCUUUUUUUAUCUUCUUUGUCUGAAAAUAGGUUUGAUUUGCUUCACCUAUGAGAAUUUCUACCAAUUCUUCUUUUAUUCAUCAAAGCUCAUCCUAAUCUCCGUCGAGAUUACUGCCUUAGCCCUGUCCUAUCAUCUGUAUAAUGGAGUUCGUCAUUUAUUGGUGGAUUUUUAUGG